rnacentral:tRNA from 1 species
UCCCUGGCAGUCUAGUGGUUAGGACUUGGCACUCUCAUUGCCUUGGGCCUGAGUUCAAUCCCUGGUCAGGGAG